AUUGAACGCUGGCGGCAGGCCUAACACAUGCAAGUCGAGCGGAUGAAGGGAGCUUGCUCCUGGAUUCAGCGGCGGACGGGUGAGUAAUGCCUAGGAAUCUGCCUGGUAGUGGGGGAUAACGUCCGGAAACGGGCGCUAAUACCGCAUACGUCCUGAGGGAGAAAGUGGGGGAUCUUCGGACCUCACGCUAUCAGAUGAGCCUAGGUCGGAUUAGCUAGUUGGUGGGGUAAAGGCCUACCAAGGCGACGAUCCGUAACUGGUCUGAGAGGAUGAUCAGUCACACUGGAACUGAGACACGGUCCAGAGUCCUACGGGAGGCAGCAGCGGGGAAUAUUGGACAAUGGGCGAAAGCCUGAUCCAGCCAUGCCGCGUGUGUGAAGAAGGUCUUCGGAUUGUAAAGCACUUUAAGUUGGGAGGAAGGGCAGUAAGUUAAUACCUUGCUGUUUUGACGUUACCAACAGAAUAAGCACCGGCUAACUUCGUG
rnacentral:rRNA from 1 species